GACGAACGCUGGCGGCGUGCUUAACACAUGCAAGUCGAACGGAAAGGCCCUGCUUUUGUGGGGUGCUCGAGUGGCGAACGGGUGAGUAACACGUGAGUAACCUGCCCUUGACUUUGGGAUAACUUCAGGAAACUGGGGCUAAUACCGGAUAGGAGCUCCUGCUGCAUGGUGGGGGUUGGAAAGUUUCGGCGGUUGGGGAUGGACUCGCGGCUUAUCAGCUUGUUGGUGGGGUAGUGGCUUACCAAGGCUUUGACGGGUAGCCGGCCUGAGAGGGUGACCGGCCACAUUGGGACUGAGAUACGGCACAGAGUCCUACGGGAGGCAGCAGUGGGGAAGAUUGCACAAUGGGCGGAAGCCUGAUGCAGCAACGCCGCGUGCGGGAUGACGGCCUUCGGGUUGUAAACCGCUUUCGCCUGUGACGAAGCGUGAGUGACGGUAAUGGGUAAAGAAGCACCGGCUAACUACGUG
rnacentral:rRNA from 1 species